UACGUAGGGGGCAAGCGUUGUCCGGAAUCAUUGGGCGUAAAGAGCGUGUAGGCGGCCAGAUAAGUCCGCUGUGAAAUCUCGAGGCUCAACUUCGAGCUGUCGGUGGAAACUGUCUGGCUAGAGUCCGGAAGGGAGAGAUGGAAUUCCUGGUGUAGCGGUGAAAUGCGCAGAUAUCAGGAGGAACACCAGUGGCGAAGGCGGCUCACUGGACCGUUGUUGACGCUGAGGUGCGAAAGCGUGGGGAGCAAACAGG
rnacentral:rRNA from 1 species